rfam:Solanum lycopersicum cultivar Heinz 1706 chromosome 7, whole genome shotgun sequence.
AGAGUCAAGUUGCAGCCAAGGAUGACUUGCCGGACCAAAAGUUGUGACCAUUUUCUAGUUCCGGCAAGUUGUUUUUGGCUAUAAGUUUGCUCUCU